UCCAUGGGCGGAGGGGGCAUUCACUGAGUUGCCUUUGUAUGCUGGGAGCACCAAGCCGGAGGUUCCCACUAUGCAGCCCGGAGUCUGUGCAGCCAGAUGACGCAUGAGCCACCAGGUUCCAGAUGCUAAUAUGAUGCUAACCAGACUUCCCUGGGAAGACGACCCCACCAGUGUGUCUUGGAGCCCUGCUUCCCCAGAGCCCUUCCCCACUAGGGAAAGAGAGAGGCAAAGUGGACUCAUUCCUGGCCUGCUGGAGGGGACGUUGUACUUGGAGUCCAGCCGACUGGUAUUCAAAUCCCGAAUCUUCAAUUUCUAGCAUUAUGACCAUCAACAAGUUAAAAAAAAUGUACAUGUGUCAGUUUGUUCACUUGAGAAAUGUUACAUAGCAAUACUCUGCAGACUUAAGAACCCUGAAGGUGAUCUUGUCAAAGCUCCUGGGAAUAAUAAUGCUGGAAUAAGAUUGUUGAAAACAGUUAAUGAUAAUUUCAAACCAGUGUGAGCUAUUAAUAACAUUAGUGAUAAGAUAAACAUGAUAACAUUGUGAACUGCCAUAUUCAUUGCCAGAAUGGCUGUUUUGGGAAUUAUCAGUUAAAAAGUAUUUUCUGUUAAUAGAUUAACAGAAAAAGAGAAAGUUGUAUUUGUGAGUGAGAAUAGAAAACUGUGAGGGAACAGAGACAAGCAGUUGCUAAAACUCCUCAAAAUAAUCUAAUAAUUAUAGCUAAAUUGACUGAAUGUCUGCUA